CCGGCCACAUCACAUUGAAACACCGGUUCCCGUACGAUCACCGAUGUUAAGCAACGUUGAGUUUGGUCAGUAUCUAGAAGGGUGACCGCUUGUGAAUAUCAGGUGCCGUAAG